ACCACUCCUUCCUUCUUCUUAUACUUGUGUAAUGUAAGAACCAUUCCCACCAUUAUUCUAUCACUUCUAAACCAAAAUUCUGAAAUUUAUCUUCUCCAAGUGAACAAGUAAACCAAAGUUUUGAAUUUUAUCUUCUCCAAGCAAACAAGCAACCAAAAUUUUAAAAUCCCACCUUCUCCAAGUGAAGAAGCAACUAAAUUUUCUGAAAUUCCACCUUUUUUUCCUCAUAAUUUCAUGAAUCAUCAAGAGGUUUUGUAGUAUCACCUCACAAUAGCAACCCCCUAUUUCAAAGAAAGUUUCAUAAAGUUCAUUUUAAUCUCUACAUUUUAUAUGGAGUAUGGACCUUAAUGAUAGUCCACCUUGGAUUGUUUUAAAUGUUUUGCAAUUAGAAGAGCCCAAGUAGAUUUUAUCAUCAUCAUCAUCUUUCUUCUCUUUUGUGUUGGAAAGGUAAUUAGUAGAAUCUCUUUGGUGUGGUGAUAGAAGUAGCCAUUAGAAGUCUUUAUCAAGUUAGGUUGUUUUGGAAGAUUGGAUUUCUGAUUUUAUUGUGGUGAUUGAAGAUUGCUCAUAGAGGGUAGCUUCGUUAUGGAGGUGAUGACUAUAAGUAUUAUGUGCUAUGUGCGCGCAUUUUGCAGGAUUUAGUUCAGGUUCCAGGCCGCAACAAUUACUAUUUAUCGAGAACUUAUGUGCUUUUUGUAUCUUUAUUGAUGACUUGAUGAUGAUGUAUUUUUUUCAUUUUGAUGUAUUAGAUGUAACAUUUUACUUAUGUUUUAAACAACUUUAAUUUUUAUGAUUUAAAGAUUUUAACAGU